rnacentral:rRNA from 1 species
GCUAUUUAAAUGAUCCAUGAAACGAUAAGUUUAUUUUUUCAAAAAUUAAUUUAAUCGUACCGAUAACCGCAUCAGGUCUCCAAGGUGAGUAGCUUCUGGCCAUUGAGUAAUGGUAAUUUAGGGAAUUCGGCCAAUUAGAGCUGUAACUUCGGGAUAAAGCUUGGCUCUGAUGGAAAUCAGAACCGAUAGUUACAAGGAGAGCCCAACUGUUUAAUAAAAACUUAGUGUCGCGUCAUACCUUUAUAAGUAAUAAACGUGACAUGAAUCCUGCUCAGUGCUGUGUUUGUUAAACUGGAUUAAUCCAUUUAAGCGCCGGUAAAUAGCUGGGGUAACUAUGACUCUUAUCAAAGUAGCGAAAUACCUCGUCACUUAAUUAGUGACCUGCAUGAACGGAGCUAUGAGGUUCUCACUGUCCCAAAUUAUCACUCAGCGAACCAACAGUUGUGGGAACGGGCACAAAUUAUCCAGCGGGGAAAGAAGACCCUGUAGAGCUUCACUUUGGUCUAAUCUUGUAUAGUUUCGUUAGGGGUGCAGUCUAGGUGGGAGAUUUUUAAUCAAAUAUGAGAAACCACUACCCUUUCUGGAAUUAUACUUACUAAAAUUCUUUUCUAAAUUUUAGGAUCGGAUUAGAUAGAAAGUUUGGCUGGGGCGGCACACCUUCGAAAAAGCAGCGAAGGUGUCCUAAGUUAAGCUCAGUAAGGACAGAAAUCUUACGUUGAGGAUAAGGCCAAAAGCUUAAUUUACUGUGCCUUUUUGUACUAGGAUCAGUUUGGAAACAAAGGCCUAACGAUCCCUAAUUAGUCUUAGGUGUGUAAGACUUGGGGUGACAGACAAGUUACCUCCGGGACAACUGGCUUGUGGCUGCUAAGAGAUCAAAUCAACGCAGCUUUUUGAUUCUUCGAUGUCGGCUCUUCCUAUCCUAGUGAUGUACAAGUCACUAAGGGUUGGAUUGUUCACCCGUAUUAGGGAUCGUGAGCUGGGUUUAGACCGUCGUGAGCCAGGUUUGUUUUAUCCUACUGGAUAUAAUUUAGCAUCUUGAUAGUAGUUUGAUUUAGUACGAGAGGAACUGUUGAAUAUGGUCUCUGGUUUGGGAAUUUUAUGAAAAUAAAAGUUCCAAAGCUACGCCGUCUGAGAUAAUGGCUGAAGGCCUCUUAAGCCAGAAACUCAUCUAAAAAUAGAUGCUUUA